rnacentral:rRNA from 1 species
CCUACGGGGGGCUGCAGUGGGGAAUAUUGGACAAUGGGGGCAACCCUGAUCCAGCCAUGCCGCGUGUGUGAAGAAGGCCCUCGGGUUGUAAAGCACUUUCAGUGAGGAAGAACGCCUGGUGGUUAAUACCCAUCAGGAAAGACAUCACUCACAGAAGAAGCACCGGCUAACUCCGUGCCAGCAGCCGCGGUAAUACGGAGGGUGCGAGCGUUAAUCGGAAUUACUGGGCGUAAAGCGCGCGUAGGUGGCUUGAUAAGCCGGUUGUGAAAGCCCCGGGCUCAACCUGGGAACGGCAUCCGGAACUGUCAAGCUAGAGUGCAGGAGAGGAAGGUAGAAUUCCCGGUGUAGCGGUGAAAUGCGUAGAGAUCGGGAGGAAUACCAGUGGCGAAGGCGGCCUUCUGGACUGACACUGACACUGAGGUGCGAAAGCGUCGGUAGCAAACAGGAUUAGAUACCCUAGUAGUC